CCAGUGCCUGAUGCUGGGGCUGCCCUGGCCUGGCCUGGCCCGGCCCUGAGGAGCCCUGGCUGCUGCUGGCCCUUGCUGUCUGCGUGCAGGCACUUUCCUACAUGCUGAGCACAGCCCAGAUCUUUGUGAAUAGUCUGUUUACUAAGAUGAGGAAAAAGAAUCUUUCCAAUGGGUCUUUCAGAGAUUCUGCUGUCAGAUGCUUUUCUGCUUUCACACAGGCUUGAUCCUGAAGUUACUGUUGACUUCAAUAAAGUCCUAGGUUCUCAAAUACAAAAGCCAUGAGGAAAAAAGAUGGAACCAUUUUCACAAAUAACAGACCAGCCCAGAGCUCUUCUUGAAAAACAAGCAAUAGGAGCAGCGUGGCACAUAGGUCCCAGGUCUGGCUCUCUAACAGUCCUUGCGAGCACCCUUUUUUUUCUAUUGGCCGACAUGGGAACGUGAUCAUAAUAUCCAGUGACAUGCAAUACAGUAGUAUGUUGUUCUACCUCUAAUGGGAUCGGUAUAUGAGAAAAAGCAAGGUCCACACGGGGAAACAUCUUUAAUAAAUCCAUUGAUAGAGCUUGGGAAAGCAGGCAAUGUUGUCGGCUCAGAGCCAGUGACAUUUAGCGCAAUUUUCUGUAGCAAGGCAAGUCAAUGGAUAUGCAGAAAAGACUGUUUGGGGGGAAAAAAAAAAUCACACAUGUUGCUACAUCUUAUAGGUUAGAAAUGUUCCAUCUCCAUCUGUUCCUUAAAGGGAAAAUUGGAUUUUGUGAGAAUAUUUUUUCCCCAAAAAAGUAUCUGCUUUCUGUAGAAAAUUAGAGCUAUUCAUCAGAAAGCCAAACACCUGCAAGCCAAAUAUUUCUGGCUGAAAGUAUUGAU